GGGCCUGUGGCUCAGUGGGUAGAGUGCUGACCCCAUAUACCAGGGGUGGCAGGUUCGAACCCAGCCUGGACCA
rnacentral:tRNA from 1 species